GGAUCCAAAUAGAUGACUUCUGUAGGGAGGAUAGCAACAACCCACACAUGUUUUUUUGGAGCAUCAUUUUACAUCUCCAGAGUCAGACUGGAUACUUCCGCUGUGAUUUGAAUUUCACAAUCAACACUGAAAAAGCUAUACAGCAAAGAACUCUACGUUCCUAGUAAACACAAAAUAUACAUUAUUUUUCCUCCUCAUGAAAAAAAAAUGUACAGAAAAUAGCCUACUGUCCUGGGUAUAAGUCGAUUGCUUCAAAAAACAGUUCCUCACCCAAGCAACACAGAAUAAAGAGAGCCUAUGAAAUGGAUGAAGAGUUCGAUCUAGUCCAUGUGAUGAAACCUGCAAUGGCAAGAUUCAACUGCUGUGGUUCAUUCUCUGCUGUUUUCCUUCCCUGCAAAUUUUCCUUCUGAAAGGCACAGAAACAAGAUGCGUAUUCUGCAAUAACGGACAAAGAGGAGCUAGAGAAGGAAAGGGACAGAACAGAAAGUUUGACUUCAGCACCCAAAUCCUCAUAAGAAAAGUUAUGCUCUAACUAAAAGGAUAAGGAAAUACAGUUAGUGUCUGGAUAACUUACUUCACUUUUAAUGUUUCUGCAAAUUCCAACAUGAACAGGCCCAAUGUAAAUCAGCUUUCCUCACUAAGCUGACGGCUAAACUACAGCAGAUGCCAGAGGAUUUUUAAACUGCACAGGUCACAUUUAGAGGCUGAUGCAGUACAAUGCUGAUAUUGUCUACUAGCUUGAUUUCAGCAUUCCCUUUGAAGGUAGAAAAGCACUUUGCAAAAGACUGAGAGAAAACAGUUCUUCACUUGUGCCCUCAGAAUAUGUUUUUAAACUACCUUUUCAUUUCUAAUGUAAAGACAAAGAAAACUAGUCACUAGAGAAUCACUAUUAAAUAUAAUAUAACAUGCAUUUCUUGUUCUUUUUCCAACGUUUGCUUUAAAUGUGUCACUAAAUAUGUUAGCUUAAUUAGCUUAUACUGGCACCUAUUGGUGAAAAAUAAUAUUUGCAAGCGCCAUUAUUAAUUACUGCUAGCUCUUUAAUCACAAACAACAAUGCUCUUUGUAGUAAUUAUUGGCUUGCACACUUCCCACUUCAUUUCCAGUGUAUUUUCCACUGUUUUAAUUGUCUUACAAUAAUCUGGUGUUGAGAAUAAUGAGUAUGGGUUAAAACUGUUCUUAUUUAUGUAAGAGUUAGAUUUGUUUUCUUUUUAUCUUGAAAGUGUUCUAAAAAAAGUUUCUUAACUGAGGCUCAUACUAAGAAAACCUGCAAAGAAUAUUCAGUCACUGCGGUCAACCAGAAAUCAGAUGACAAAACAGUGUUUUUACAGGGAAGCAUAGAAUGUCUGAGUCUUAGCAAGCAAAUGAUUACCCACAGCCAGUAUUGAAAAGAUGAUUGAAAAUUAUCCUUGGAAUGGUAAUUAAUUGGAUACUAAAUUAUUCCCAAAUAGAACAGAUUUAGAAAUACAUUUUUCACUAUAUUUUUUCUUAUUGAUUAUGGAUUUCAUUAUUUAUUCGAAAAGGGGAACACUUUGAAUCCCAUUGUUUUUCUGUUUCACAUCAGCUGCUCCUUGCCAUGUCCAGAAAACAUUUCCUAAGAAAUCCAAAUUUCAGCUGUUUUAAAUGCCACUGCUCUGUAACUCAAAUAACUUAACCACAGGAUUCUUGUGCCAUUGUACCUGUUCUGGGACAGCUCAAGUACCUUCCAGUUGCUGCUUCAGAGAAACACCAGUGUCCUUGCAUACCUGCUAGACAUUUCCUGAAUGUUUAGAAUACCUAAAACUGGCUUUAGAUUUCAGUAUUUAAGCAAUUGCAUUUUACACUUAAUAUUCAGAACAGCUUCACAAACACACUUGCUUGCACUGUCAGCUUGUCAGCCACACAAAUAACUAGUAUGAAUAAACAAACUGAUGC
ensembl:lncRNA